UCCUACGGGGGGCUGCAGGCGCGAAAACUUUACAAUGCGGGAAACCGUGAUAAGGGAACCCCGAGUGCCUGUAUAUGCAGGCUGUCCAGGUGUCUAAAAAACACCUGAAGAAAGGGCCGGGCAAGACCGGUGCCAGCCGCCGCGGUAAUACCGGCGGCUCGAGUGGUGGCCACUUUUAUUGGGCUUAAAGCGUUCGUAGCUGGGUUGUUAAGUCUCUUGGGAAAUCUGACGGCUUAACCGUCAGGCGUCUAAGAGAUACUGGCAAUCUUGGAACCGGGAGAGGUGAGGGGUACUUCGGGGGUAGGAGUGAAAUCCUGUAAUCCUCGAGGGACCACCUGUGGCGAAGGCGCCUCACCAGAACGGCUUCGACAGUGAGGGACGAAAGCUGGGGGAGCAAACCGGAUUAGAUACCCUUGUAGUC
rnacentral:rRNA from 1 species